UACGAAGGGGGCUAGCGUUGUUCGGAAUCACUGGGCGUAAAGCGCACGUAGGCGGGUUCUUAAGUCAGGGGUGAAAUCCCGAGGCUCAACCUCGGAACUGCCUUUGAUACUGGGAAUCUUGAGUUCGGGAGAGGUGAGUGGAAUUGCGAGUGUAGAGGUGAAAUUCGUAGAUAUUGGGAAGAACACCAGUGGCGAAGGCGGCUCACUGGCUCGUAUCUGACGCUCAGGCGCGAUAGCGUGGGGAUCAAACAGG
rnacentral:rRNA from 1 species